GAUGAACGCUGGCGGCGUGCCUAAUACAUGCAAGUCGAGCGAACGGACGAGAAGCUUGCUUCUCUGAUGUUAGCGGCGGACGGGUGAGUAACACGUGGAUAACCUACCUAUAAGACUGGGAUAGCUUCGGGAAACCGGAGCUAAUACCGGAUAAUAUUUUGAACCGCAUGGUUCAAAAGUGAAAGACGGUCUUGCUGUCACUUAUAGAUGGAUCCGCGCUGCAUUAGCUAGUUGGUAAGGUAACGGCUUACCAAGGCAACGAUGCAUAGCCGACCUGAGAGGGUGAUCGGCCACACUGGAACUGAGACACGGUCCAGACUCCUACGGGAGGCAGCAGUAGGGAAUGUGCCGCAAUGGGCGAAAGCCUGACGGAGCAACGCCGCGUGAGUGAUGAAGGUCUUCGGAUCGUAAAACUCUGUUAUUAGGGAAGAACAUAUGUGUAAGUAACUGUGCACAUCUUGACGGUACCUAAUCAGAAAGCCACGGCUAACUACGUG
rnacentral:rRNA from 1 species